rnacentral:rRNA from 1 species
UAGUCCACGCCGUAAACGAUGGUUACUAGCUGUUCGGACUUCGGUCUGAGUGGCUAAGCGAAAGUGAUAAGUAACCCACCUGGGGAGUACGUUCGCAAGAAUGAAACUCAAAGGAAUUGACGGGGGCCCGCACAAGCGGUGGAGCAUGUGGUUUAAUUCGAUGAUACGCGAGGAACCUUACCAGGGCUUAAAUGUAGUCUGACAGCUUUAGAGAUAGAGUUUUCUUCGGACAGAUUACAAGGUGCUGCAUGGUUGUCGUCAGCUCGUGCCGUGAGGUGUCAGGUUAAGUCCUAUAACGAGCGCAACCCCUAUUUCUAGUUGCUAGCAGGUAAUGCUGAGGACUCUAGAGAAACUGCCGGCGUAAGCCGAGAGGAAGGUGGGGAUGACGUCAAAUCAUCACGGCCCUUACGUCCUGGGCCACACACGUGCUACAAUGGUCGGUACAGAGGGCAGCAACUACGCGAGUAGGAGCGAAUCUCAAAACCGGUCUCAGUUCGGAUCGAAGUCUGCAAC